GAAAACCUGCUCUUUUACAAUUUCUCCAGUAGGUUUCUUUGAGGAGAAAGCCUCC
ensembl:snRNA U7 U7 small nuclear RNA